ACCAAUGUGAGAUAUGCAAAUUUUUCUGUGAAGAGAGAUUAUGUAAUCAGCACAAUUACUAAUAUAUUAAUAUAUUGAAAUUAGUAUGAUGAUACAAUACAUAUAGACUAGAUAAAUGAACACAUUAUGUGUAUUGGAUUAAAAAAGAUUGGACCAUUUAAGCGCCAAUGAUGUUUUACACAUUCUUUACAACCACGUAGAUCAGAAAUAUAAACUAGACUAAUAAUGGACAGUCAUGUCAAGUACAUCCAAGGACACUCAAGUGCUAGCGCCAUUGUAAGCAAUGACAAGUGUUCUUCACAUACUCGCAGUAGAUGUCACAAUUCUUGCAAGCCAAAACCAAAAUCAAUUGAAUCAAGUAGUAGUUACUAUUGUUGUUUACUAUUGUUGUUACAGAGGCCACUUAUACCCAUAAUACACACGACCCGGCAAGGACCACUUUAAAUAGCUUUACUUAACUUUGCCAGAUCUUAAGCUUGGAUUACACAGAACGUUCAACAAACUUGAACAUAAAUGGUAUGUUAGGUUUUACAAAGAAUUCCGCCUUAAAAGCAUUCUCUAUGGGAUAGUCGAAGCCAAUUUCAAAGUUGCGCACCAGCCUGGCAACUGCAAUCUCCAGCAUCAUGUCAACAAUGCGCUUGCCAGCACAAGCUCGUGGUCCGAAGCCAAAUGGUAAAUACAUAAAGGGAGUGGACGUGUCACCCACUAGGUUUGAGCUAGAUUCGUCACGCAGCCAACGCUCGGGCAGAAACUCGCGAACGCGUGGAACAUACUGUUCCAUGUUUGCCAUCUGAUAGUUGGACGCCAUACCCACAUCCGUGCCAGCCACAACUCGGUAUCCACUCAAAACAACGUCAGUUGGCACUCGACGCAAGGUGCCAGGUCCAAUGGGAUACAUGCGAAUGCCCUCCUUGAUGCAAGCACGUAGAUAAGGUAAAUUUGAUGUGGAUUCUAUGGUCCAUUGCGAAUGCUUGUCCGGCAGUACGCCUUUGAUCUCCUCUAAUAAGCGGAAUUGUUUAGCGGGAUUCUUAGCUAACAUCAACAAAAUGCCGCACAAAGACACCAAGGU